CAAUAGCGUAUAUUUAAGUUGCUGCAGUUAAAAAGCUCGUAGUUGGAUUUCGGGUGGGAAUGGCCGGUCCGCCGUUUCGGUGUGCACUUGCUACGCCCACCUUGCUGCCGGGGACGUGCUCUUGAGUUCACGCUCGGGACACGGAGUCGGCGAGGUUACUUUGAGUAAAUUAGAGUGUUCAAAGCAGGCCUACGCUCUGAAUACAUUAGCAUGGAAUAACACGAUAGGACUCUGGCCUAUCUUGUUGGUCUGUAGGACCGGAGUAAUGAUUAAGAGGGACAGUCGGGGGCAUUCGUAUUUCACUGUCAGAGGUGAAAUUCUUGGAUUUAUGAAAGACGAACUACCGCGAAAGCAUUUGCCAAGGAUGUUUUCAUUAA
rnacentral:rRNA from 1 species